rnacentral:rRNA from 1 species
CUCAGGAUGAACGCUAGCUACAGGCUAACACAUGCAAGUCGAGGGAAACGAUAUUGAAGCUGCUUCUUAGGCGUCGACCGGCGAAUGGGUGAGUAACGCGUAUCCAACCUGCCCCUGAGUAAGGGAUAGCCCAUCGAAAGAUGGAUUAAUACCUUAUGGUUCCUUUGAAGGCAUCAGAUUAGGAAUAAAGAUUUAUCGCUGAGGGAUGGGGAUGCGUCUGAUUAGCUUGUUGGCGGGUAACGGCCACCAAGGCGACGAUCAGUAGGGGUUCUGAGAGGAAGGUCCCCCACAUUGGUACUGAGACACGGACCAAACUCCUACGGGAGGCAGCAGUGAGGAAUAUUGGUCAAUGGGCGCAAGCCUGAACCAGCCAAGUAGCGUGCAAGGACGACUGCCCUAUGGGUUGUAAACUGCUUUUAUACGGGGAUAAAGUCAGAGUCGUGACUCUGUUUGCAGGUACCGUAUGAAUAAGGACCGGCUAAUUCCGUGCCAGCAGCUGC